rnacentral:rRNA from 1 species
UACGUAGGCAGCGAGCGUUGUUCGGAAUUAUUGGGCGUAAAGGGUGCAUAGGCGGUUUUGUAAGUCUUGUGUGAAAUCUUCAGGCUCAACUUGAAGACUGCACGAGAAACUGCAGGGCUUGAGUGUGGGAGAGGUGAGUGGAAUUCCUGGUGUAGCGGUGAAAUGCGUAGAUAUCAGGAGGAACACCUGUGGCGAAAGCGGCUCACUGGACCACAACCGACGCUGAUGCACGAAAGCUAGGGGAGCAAACAGG